rnacentral:rRNA from 1 species
GAUGAACGCUGGCGGCGUGCCUAACACAUGCAAGUCGAGCGAGAAGUUUGAAAAAUGAGUUUUCGAACAAGUGAUUCAAACGGAAAGCGGCGGACGGGUGAGUAACGCGUAGGCAACCUGCCCCGUGCAGAGGGACAGCCUCGGGAAACCGGGAUUAAGACCUCAUGAUAUCGGGUUAUCACAUGGUAAUCCGGUCAAAGAUUUAUCGGCAUGGGAUGGGCCUGCGUCUGAUUAGCUGGUUGGUGGGGUAACGGCCUACCAAGGCGACGAUCAGUAGCAGAACUGAGAGGUUCAUCUGCCACAUUGGAACUGAGACACGGUCCAAACUCCUACGGGAGGCAGCAGUGAGGAAUAUUGCACAAUGGGCGAAAGCCUGAUGCAGCAACGCCGCGUGAGCGAAGAAGGCCUUUGGGUCGUAAAGCUCUGCCCUUGGGGAAGAAACAAAUGACGGUACCCUUGGAGGAAGCCCCGGCUAACUACGUGCCAGCAGCCGCGGU